AACAGCACCAGGGAACAGGGUCCCAUGGGGUGGUGGUCUGGAGGGGAACUGAUUUGGUCACCAGCCUGAGCCCCUGACUGUGCAGUGUCCACAAAGAUCCCGGGCUGCUCCUUCCUCCCAGAGGAAGCGUACAAACCUGGAGGGGAACUGCCCGUCUCCUCGGCUGACCCGUCCACCUCCUUCUUUUCCCCUCGUGUCCGCCGCUACACGCGCCGCCGGAACCCUAGCCUCCACCGCCACAGGCAGCAGGGAUGGAGAAAGGAGCCUCGGAGGCGUCGCCCCCUUGCGCUCGCUGCGGCAAGCCCGCUCAGCUUCAAUGCCCCAAGUGUGUCGAACUUAAGUUACCGCGUGAGAAUGCAGCUUUCUGCACACAGGAUUGUUUUAGGGCAGCAUGGAGCUCUCACAAAUCUGUUCACCCAAAGCCUGGUGCACCGGCAUCCCAGCAGUCUCCAGAAGGUUGGAAAUAUUGUCUGAGAAAAGGGCGGGAACGUGCAUUGCAACUUCCUCGUUUUGAUUGGACAGGUCCAUUGAGACCACAUCCAAUAUCAAAGAUGCGUGUGGUGCCAGAUGAAAUUGAGAAGCCUGAUUGGGCGCUUGAUGGAAUUCCCAAGAUAGAACCAGAUAGUGAUUUGCAGAAAAGAGUAGAGAUUAAGACCCCUGAUCUCAUAGAAAGGAUGAGAGUAACAUGUCGAAUUGCAAGAGAGGUUUUAGAUGCAGCUGCUCGUGUAAUUAAACCAGGAAUUACAACAGAUGAAAUUGAUAGAGUCGUCCAUGAAGAGACAAUUGCUAGAGGUGGAUACCCAUCUCCAUUGAAUUACUAUUUCUUCCCCAAGUCAUGUUGCACGUCUGUCAACGAAGUCAUUUGCCAUGGAAUUCCAGAUGCCAGGAAACUUGAGGAUGGUGACAUUGUAAAUGUUGAUGUAACUGUAUACUAUAAAGGUGUUCAUGGUGAUUUGAAUGAGACAUAUUUUGUUGGAAAUGUUGAUGAAGCUUCCAAACACCUUGUACGUUGUACCUAUGAGUGCUUGGAGAAAGCUAUUGCGAUAGUUAAACCUGGAGUUCGGUUCCGAGAGGUCGGAGAAGUCAUAAACAGACAUGUUUCAAUGUCAGGUUUAUCUGUGGUGAAAUCUUAUUGUGGCCAUGGCAUAGGGGAACUGUUUCACUGCGCCCCAAACAUUCCUCAUUAUUCAAGCUUCACAGCUGGGGAGAUAUGCUGGUGUUUUUUAAUGCAGGAAACAAGGCCGUUGGUAUCAUGAAAGCUGGGCAGACAUUUACAAUUGAACCAAUGGUCAAUGCAGGGGUUUGGAAUGAUCGUCUGUGGCCUGACGAUUGGACUGCAGUGACUGCAGAUGGUAAACGGAGUGCUCAAUUUGAACAUACACUUUUGGUGACAGAAACAGGAUGUGAAGUUUUGACGGCACGGUUACCCUCAUCACCGGACGUUUUUCCAUGGUUGAAGAAGCCGUGAUGGGGAACGCCACCAACAGCAAGUGAUACUGUUACACUGGGUCAGCAAAAAGUUUUGUUCUGCUCUAUCAGUCGGCCAAAGCUGAAAUUUUCAAAUAUUCUAGAUCAGAGUGAUUAGCAUGCUACUGCUGAACAGUCGCAGCAAUUGUCUAUCGUGCGGAACUAUUUCUGGGAGUGUGUAUUGUUAAGUCGGUUUUCUUCGAGUUAUACGAGACGUAUGGCUUCUUGAGAUGUGUCACCAAUAUGAUUAUGCCAUCAGUUUACUUUUGAUUUCACA